AAUGUAUGACGCCAUUGACUUUUUGUCCAACGUUUGACCAUUCGUCUUAUUCAAAAAAUUUAUGUAACUAUCAUUUAUUUCGUUGUGACUUGAUUCGUCAUCAAAUAUAUUCUUUAAGCUGGACAUAAAUAUUUUCAUAUUUUCAACAAAAUUUUUGAAUAAAACGAAUGGUCAAACGUUGAUUGAAAAGUCAACGGCGUCGUACAUU
rnacentral:pre_miRNA from 1 species